UCGAUCGGUCUGAAGCGUCCAUCUUCAUUACUCCUGUGUUGAUUCGUAUACUGCCGUCUUCGUAUUGGACCAGGCGUCCUUUGCGAUGGAAUUAUCGCAAUUUUCAGUGAGUGUAAAACUUCUGGAAGGAAAAUUUAUUCAGGGCUUUAUGGGAGCGUAGGAAAGGUAUUCAGGAAGUCCUUUUUUCUCCAGUCAUUUUAACAUUUUUUUGGUGAGGCGUGUGGAUUGAAGAACAAAGGGCAUUAUGGGGGAACUAUUUUUCCCACACGGCGCAUGGAGUUUGUAGCAGAAAUGGCGGUAGUAACGAGAAAACGAAGAGUUUGGAGGAGAUGGUACAUGAGCCGAAGCUCGUUCGACUAAGGGGAACAAUAGGUCCGUCGAAAUGGGUUUCAAGAUGCGAUAAUUAAAAUUGAAAAAUAUAAAUGCUCCUGUCUCUGUCCCUAUGCUUCACUGUUAAAAACGAAACGAAAUUUUGUGAACAGAUUUUGAAAAAUUACCUGGGUCUGCAGCAGAAGCAUACUUGAUGCGACCGUGAAGGCAGUGCCCGUGGU